rnacentral:rRNA from 1 species
AUUGAACGCUGGCGGCAUGCCUUACAUAUGCAAGUCGAACGGCAGCGCGGGGCAACCUGGCGGCGAGUGGCGAACGGGUGAGUAAUAUAUCGGAACAUACCCUAGAGUGGGGGAUAACGUAGCGAAAGUUACGCUAAUACCGCAUACGCACUAAGGUGGAAAGUGGGGGAUUCGCAAGAACCUCAUGCUCAUGGAGUGGCCGAUAUCUGAUUAGCUAGUUGGUGAGGUAAAGGCUCACCAAGGCGACGAUCAGUAGCUGGUUUGAGAGAACGACCAGCCACACUGGAACUGAGACACGGUCCAGACUCCUACGGGAGGCAGCAGUGGGGAAUUUUGGACAAUGGGGGCGAACCCUGAUCCAGCAAUGCCGCGUGAGUGAAGAAGGCCUCGGUUGUAAGUACGUCUUUGUUCUAGGGAAGGAAACGGUAGAGUCUAU